rnacentral:misc_RNA from 1 species
CGCACCUUGCGCUCCUUGGUAUUCCGAGGAGCAUGCCUGUUUGAGUGUUAUUAUAUUCUCAACCUCACUAGUUUUUUCAAACUUGCGAGGCUUGGAUCAUGGGGUCUGCGGGCUUUCACAAGUCGGCUAUCCUUAAAUGCAUUAGCAGAGCUUUUGCCGCUAACCAUUGGUGUGAUAAUUAUCUACGCCAUUGAGCAGUGACAUAUUGAGGCUUUGCUUCUAAUCGUCCUCACGGACAAAUCUUGACAAUCUGACCUCAAAUCAGGUAGGACUACCCGCUGAACUUAA